ACGUACGGCCACAGAUCAGGGAAAACAUCGGACUCCGUUCGCUCUCCUGUGAUUAAGCCUUGAAUCGGUAGAUUAGUAGUUAGGUGGGUGACCACUAAUGAAUACCUACUGCUGUACGUU
rnacentral:rRNA from 1 species